AUUGAGCGCUGGCGGCAGGCCUAACACAUGCAAGUCGAGCGGUAGAGAGAAGCUUGCUUCUCUUGAGAGCGGCGGACGGGUGAGUAAUGCCUAGGAAUCUGCCUGGUAGUGGGGGAUAACGUUCGGAAACGGACGCUAAUACCGCAUACGUCCUACGGGAGAAAGCAGGGGACCUUCGGGCCUUGCGCUAUCAGAUGAGCCUAGGUCGGAUUAGCUAGUUGGUGAGGUAAUGGCUCACCAAGGCGACGAUCCGUAACUGGUCUGAGAGGAUGGUCAGUCACACUGGAACUGAGACACGGUCCAGACUCCUACGGGAGGCAGCAGUGGGGAAUAUUGGACAAUGGGCGAAAGCCUGAUCCAGCCAUGCCGCGUGUGUGAAGAAGGUCUUCGGAUUGUAAAGCACUUUAAGUUGGGAGGAAGGGCAGUUACCUAAUACGUGAUUGUUUUGACGUUACCGACAGAAUAAGCACCGGCUAACUCUAUGCCAGCAGCCGCGGUAA
rnacentral:rRNA from 1 species